rnacentral:rRNA from 1 species
GAUCCUGGCUCAGGAUGAACGCUGGCGGCGUGCCUAAUACAUGCAAGUAGAACGCUGAAGCUUGGUGCUUGCACCGAGCGGAUGAGUUGCGAACGGGUGAGUAACGCGUAGGUAACCUGCCUCUUAGCGGGGGAUAACUAUUGGAAACGAUAGCUAAUACCGCAUAAAAGUCGACAUUGCAUGAUGUUGAUUUGAAAGGUGCAAAUGCAUCACUAAGAGAUGG